AACGAACGCUGGCGGCAUGCCUAACACAUGCAAGUCGAACGAGACCUUCGGGUCUAGUGGCGCACGGGUGCGUAACGCGUGGGAACCUGCCCUUAGGUUCGGAAUAACUCCCCGAAAGGGGUGCUAAUACCGGAUAAUGUCUUCGGACCAAAGAUUUAUCGCCUUUGGAUGGGCCCGCGUUGGAUUAGCUAGUUGGUAGGGUAAAAGCCACCAAGGCGACGAUCCAUAGCUGGUCUGAGAGGAUGAUCAGCCACACUGGGACUGAGACACGGCCCAGACUCCUACGGGAGGCAGCAGUGGGGAAUAUUGGACAAUGGGCGAAAGCCUGAUCCAGCAAUGCCGCGUGAGUGAUGAAGGCCUUAGGGUUGUAAAGCUCUUUUACCCGGGAUGAUAAUGACAGUACCGGGAGAAUAAGCCCCGGCUAACUCCGUG
rnacentral:rRNA from 1 species